ACACAGUGAACGACUGCUUAAUCCCGGAUGAGCCGGAAGGUAAAAGAUUUAUUGCCUAGAGAAGAGCUCGCGUCCGAUUAGUUAGUUGGUGGGGUAAAGGCCUACCAAGACGGCGAUCGGUAGCUGGUCUGAGAGGACGAUCAGCCACACUGGGACUGAGACACGGCCCAGACUCCUACGGGAGGCAGCAGUGGGGAAUUUUCCGCAAUGGGCGAAAGCCUGACGGAGCAAUACCGCGUGCGGGAGGAAGGCCCUUGGGUCGUAAACCGCUUUUAUCAGGGAAGAAGUUCUGACGGUACCUGAUGAAAAAGCCUCGGCUAACUCCGUGCCAGCAGCCGCGGUAAUACGGAGGAGGCAAGCGUUAUCCGGAAUUAUUGGGCGUAAAGCGUCCGCAGGUGGUAUUGUAAGUCUGCUGUCAAAGACAGAAGCUCAACUUCUGAAAGGCAGUGGAAACUGCAAAACUAGAGUACAGUAGGGGUAGAGGGAAUUCCCAGUGUAGCGGUGAAAUGCGUAGAGAUUGGGAAGAACACCGGUGGCGAAGGCGCUCUGCUGGGCUGU
rnacentral:rRNA from 1 species